GUAAGGAGCCUUUCUGAGUGUACUAGUCACUUUGAAAGCAGAUUCUGGUUUCUAAUUUGUGGCAAAAUGUAGGAGAGAUGAGACUACUCCCAAAAGGUUGAUCUCAAAUCCAGGGGCAUCUGAAUUUGGAACCAAGCAGCUAACAGAUCUUCCCGCACUGAACCCAGGUGGACGCCCACCUAUGCUUGUUAAGCUCAGCUGCCAUGUGAUUGUGCCAACUGGGUGGGGAGGGGGGUGUGGAAAGACUAUGGACAGUGGGUGCAUUUCCCCCUCAUUGUGGGCAUCUGCUCACCAAGCUGGAUGAGAGGCAGUCACAGGGGACGAUGGGUACAGAGGACCACAACCAGGAAGAGUACAGUGAGCCCAUAGUUUAUGGGCUAACAGUCCCUUCCAUUAACUUCUACAUCCCUGCAAACAAAUCCUGGUCCUGGAAACAAUGUCAAUUCCCUGCAUACAUUAGAGCCAUGGUUCUCAAACCUUUUACUGCUUCCCAGGUGGCUCAGUGGUAAAGAAUCUGCCUGCCAAUGCAGGAGACACAGGAGACAGUGGUUCGAUCCCUGGGUCAGGAGGAUCUCCUGGAGAAGGGCACAGCAUGCAACCCACUCCAGUAUUCUUGCCUGGAGAAUCCCACGGACAGAGGAGCAUGGCGGGCAACACCUGUGUGCUCAACUGCCCCGUGGUAUGCGGGAUCUUACUUUUCGACCUGGAUCAAGUCAACAUUCCCUCCAUUGCAAGGCAGAUUCUUAGCCAUUGGACCAGCAAGGAAGUGAACGCCAAGGACCACCUUAAGAGAACUCUCUCUCCUUUUUUUAAUGUAUCUAGUGGCAUGUGGAACUUCCCCAACCAUGGAUUCAACCUGUGUCCCCUACAGCAGAAGCUCAGAAUCUUAACCACUGGACUUGCCAGGAAAGUCCCUAUCUACUCAUUUUAGAAGCUGCUUACAUCAGUGCUUUACUCCCUCCCCCUUCAAUGAGGUUAUGUCACACAUUUGUAAAACAGAUUCUUUGGUCUCUGUAUUCUGUCUUGUAGUUGUCCGGUCUCCCAACUGAUAUGUUUUUAAAUUUGCAUUCUUUAAGAUUCAUUCUCGAGUUGUAAAGCC
ensembl:lncRNA